rnacentral:rRNA from 1 species
ACUGAAGAGUUUGAUCCUGCUCAGAUUGAACGCUGGCGGCAUGCCUUACACAUGCAAGUCGAACGGCAGCGGGGUAGCUUGCUACCUGCCGGCAUGGCGAACGGGUGAGUAAACAUCGGAACGUGCCCUGUAGUGGGGAUAACUAGUCGAAAGACUAGCUAAUACCGCAUACGACCUGAGGGUGAAAGUGGGACCGCAAGGCCUCAUGCUAUAGAGCGCCGAUGUCUGAUUAGCUGUUUGGGGUAAAGGCCCACCAAGGCGACAUCAGUAGCUGGUCUGAGAGGCGAUCAGCCCACACUGACUGAACCACGCCCAGAUCCUACGGAGCAGUGGGGAAUUUUGGACAAUGGGGGCAACCCUGAUCCAGCAAUGCCGCGUGUGUGAAGAAGCCUUCGUUGUAAAGCACUUUUGUCGAAGAAAUCGCACUUUAGAUACCUGUGGGAUGACGUACCGGAAGAAUAAGACCGGCUAACUACGUGCCAGCAGCCGCGUAUACGUAGGGUCAAGCGUAAUCGGAAUUACUGGCGUAAAGCGUGCGCAGGCGUUGUGCAAGACGAUGUGAAAUCCGCGGCUUAACCUGGAAUCAUGUGACUGCACGCUAAGUGUUCAGAGGGAGUAGAAUUCCACGUGUAGCAGUGAAUGCGUGAGAGUGGAGGAAUACCGAUGGCAAACAGCCUCCUGGAUAACACUGACGCUCAUGCACGAAAGCGUGGGAGCAAACAGAUUAGAACCCUGGUAUCCACGCCUAAACGAUGUCAACUAGUUGUUGGGAUCAUUCCUUAGUAACGUAGCUAACGCGUGAAGUUUACCGCCGGGGAGUACGUCGCAAAUUAAAACUCAAAGGAAUGACGGGACCCGCACAACGGUGGAUGAUGUGAUAAUUCGAUGCAACGCGAAAACCUUACCUACCCUUACAUGCCACUAACGAAGCAGAGAUGCAUUAGGUGCUCGAAAAAGAAGUGGACACAGUGCUGCAUGGCUGUCGUCAGCUCGUGUCGUGAUGUUGGGUUAAGUCCCGCAACGAGCGCAACCCUGUCUCUAUUGCUACGAAAGGCACUCUAGAAGACUGCCGUGACAAACCGAGAAGGUGGGAUGGUCACCAGUCCUCGGCCCUAUGGUAGGGCUUCACACGUCAUACAAUGUGCAUACAGAGGGUGCCAAGCCGCGAGUGGAGCUAAUCCAGAAAAUGCAUCGUAGUCCGGAUCGUAGUCUGCAACUCGACUACGUGAACUGGAAUCGCCUAGUAAUCGCGGAUCAGCAUGCCCGUGAAUACGUUCCCGGUCUGUACACACCGCCGUCACACCAUGGAGUGGCUUACCAGAGUGUUAGCCUAACCGCAAGGAGGCGAUACCACGUAGGUUCAUGACUGGGGUGAUCUAACAAGUACCGUAUCGAAGGGCGGCUGAUCACCUCCUUU